UACGAAGGGUGCAAGCGUUGUUCGGAAUUACUGGGCGUAAAGCGCACGUAGGCGGAUCGCUAAGUCAGGGGUGAAAUCCUGGAGCUCAACUCCAGAACUGCCUUUGAUACUGGCAAUCUCGAGUCCGGGAGAGGUGAGUGGAACUGCGAGUGUAGAGGUGAAAUUCGUAGAUAUUCGCAAGAACACCAGUGGCGAAGGCGGCUCACUGGCCCGGUACUGACGCUGAGGUGCGAAAGCGUGGGGAGCAAACAGG
rnacentral:rRNA from 1 species